rnacentral:rRNA from 1 species
UACGAAGGGGGCUAGCGUUGUUCGGAAUUACUGGGCGUAAAGCGCGUGUAGGCGGGUCUUUAAGUCAGGGGUGAAAUGCCAGGGCUCAACCUUGGAACUGCCUUUGAUAUUGGAGAUCUUGAGUCCGGGAGAGGUGAGUGGAAUUGCGAGUGUAGAGGUGAAAUUCGUAGAUAUUCGCAAGAACACCAGUGGCGAAGGCGGCUCACUGGCCCGGAACUGACGCUGAGACGCGAAAGCGUGGGGAGCAAACAGGG